UGCAGUCGAGCGGACAGAAGGGAGCUUGCUCCCGGAUGUUAGCGGCGGACGGGUGAGUAACACGUGGGUAACCUGCCUGUAAGACUGGGAUAACUCCGGGAAACCGGAGCUAAUACCGGAUAGUUCCUUGAACCGCAUGGUUCAAGGAUGAAAGACGGUUUCGGCUGUCACUUACAGAUGGACCCGCGGCGCAUUAGCUAGUUGGUGAGGUAACGGCUCACCAAGGCGACGAUGCGUAGCCGACCUGAGAGGGUGAUCGGCCACACUGGGACUGAGACACGGCCCAGACUCCUACGGGAGGCAGCAGUAGGGAAUCUUCCGCAAUGGACGAAAGUCUGACGGAGCAACGCCGCGUGAGUGAUGAAGGUUUUCGGAUCGUAAAGCUCUGUUGUUAGGGAAGAACAAGUGCAAGAGUAACUGCUUGCACCUUGACGGUACCUAACCAGAAAGCCACGGCUAACUACGUGCCAGCAGCCGCGGUAAUACGUAGGUGGCAAGCGUUGUCCGGAAUUAUUGGGCGUAAAGGGCUCGCAGGCGGUUUCUUAAGUCUGAUGUGAAAGCCCCCGGCUCAACCGGGGAGGGUCAUUGGAAACUGGGAAACUUGAGUGCAGAAGAGGAGAGUGGAAUUCCACGUGUAGCGGUGAAAUGCGUAGAGAUGUGGAGGAACACCAGUGGCGAAAGCGACUCUCUGGUCUGUAACUGACGCUGAGGAGCGAAAGCGUGGGGAGC
rnacentral:rRNA from 2 species